UACGUAGGGGCCUAGCGUUGUCCGGAUUUAUUGGGCGUAAAGAGCUCGUAGGCGGUUUGGUGAGUCGGGUGUGAAAUCUCCACGCUCAACGUGGAGGAGCCACCCGAUACUGCCAUGACUAGAGUCCGGUAGGGGAGUGUGGAAUUCCCGGUGUAGCGGUGAAAUGCGCAGAUAUCGGGAGGAACACCAGUAGCGAAGGCGGCAUCCUGGACCGGCAUUGACGCUGAGGAGCGAAAGCUAGGGGAGCAAACGGG
rnacentral:rRNA from 1 species